rnacentral:lncRNA from 1 species
GGCCGAGUGCAGGGCUUAAGAUCCGGCUUUGCUGCUUGUUGGGAGUACAAAUCUACCAAUUUCCUCUCUAUGGGCCUCAGUUUCCUCAUCUCUCAGCAGGGACAAUGAUCCCUACUCCCCAGGGCUGCCAUAGGAGCCGCAUGAGAUCAUGACGGGACACAUUCUGGACGGAGGCCACCCCCUUCCUCAAGGAGCCGCCUUGCUCGGCAGGGUCUCCGCUGCCAGGGGAGCCGCGCAUUAUUUGCAGUUUGGAUUCAAUUUCCUCCCGACUCUUCUUUUUGUUACAAACAUAAUAAAAGUGAAAGAGACAGAUGGCAAGACUCAAUUCACUUUUACCAAAUGUUUUUAGGGUGCGAAUAUAAAACUGAAGACGAGGGGAGUGAAGGGGAGAUUCGGCCUCCCGAAGAAGGCGAGGCCAGGCUCCGGGGGCUCGGGGCCCAGGCCCUGGGCAGCGCUCUCCACCCUGGCCUCCCUGGGGCCUCUGAGGUCGGUGAGGAGAGAUGGAGAGUGGAGGGGCUUCCUCCUGGACACGGCACCUUCCCCAAGGGACACGAGAAGCGCCUGGACAGCCGAAGGAAGCCCACGUGUUGGAAGGAAUCUGUCGUGCAGACCUGGGUCAGGAACUGGCAAACCACCUCUUUGCUGUCUCCUCCGUCUCCCCACCUCCGUCCUCUGCCUGUUACUCCAGCGUCCUUAGCUUUCUGGCAAUGACAGGAGACACUCUCAAGAAUCUUCCUGUCACUCACCUCGGGGAAUGCUAUAGACCUCAGCAAGGACUCAGGACUGGGGAGUUCUAGCCCCUUUGCAAUCAUUGACCAAUUGCAUGACCUUGAGAUGUCACUUACCCUCUGUGGACAGCUGAAGUCAUUUUUAAGGACCUCCCAGCUCUGCUAUUCUGGGAUUCUGUAAGUUCAUCUCUUUUACUGAUUAAUCUCUAAACCACAAGGACCCCAUCCAGAAAUGACAUUCCAAAUUCUCACUGGUGAGCAGGUGUCUGCCCACAGACCCUGCUCCCCAGAUGCUACAGGCAAUUUGGGAAUCGUAUUUUUAAAAUCACCACAGAUGGGAAGACUAAACUGAAAAUGCUGCUUUUAGCAUUUUAG